UAUUGCACAAUGGGGGAAACCCUGAUGCAGCGACGCCGCGUGAGUGAAGAAGUACUUCGGUAUGUAAAGCUCUAUCAGCAGGGAAGAAAGUGACGGUACCUGACUAAGAAGCCCCGGCUAACUACGUGCCAGCAGCCGCGGUAAUACGUAGGGGGCAAGCGUUAUCCGGAUUUAAUGGGUGUAAGGGGAGCGUAGACGGAGGAGCAAGUCUGAAGUGAAAGCCCGCGGCUCAACUGCGGGACUGCUUUGGAAACUGUUCAUCUAGAGUGUCGGAGAGGUAAGUGGAAUUCCUAGUGUAGCGGUGAAAUGCGUAGAUAUUAGGAGGAACACCAGUGGCGAAGGCGGCUUACUGGACGAUGACUGACGUUGAGGCUCGAAAGCGUGGGGAGCA
rnacentral:rRNA from 1 species